CCCUUAGAUGUUCUGGGCUGCACGCGCGCGACAAUGACGUUUGCAACGAGAUUGCGAGGCCGUCAGGUCGAGCUGAUCUUGCAAGCUGCGUCGUGAUAGGGACAGUCGAUUGCAAUUAUUCGACUCGAACGAGGAAUUCCUUGUAAUCGCGCAUCAUCAGUGCGCGCUGAAUACGUCCCUGCCCUUUGUACACACCGCCCGUCGCUCCUACCGAUUGGGUGUGCUGGUGAAAUGUUCGGAUCGGCCGUUUGUCGCGGUUUCCGCGGCUCGUGGCUGAGAAGUUCAUUAAACCCUCCCACCUAGAGGAAGGAGAAGUCGUAACA
rnacentral:rRNA from 1 species